AUUGUAUAAUGAUUUAUAACUCAUAUAUCCUUGAUAAUCGGAUCAGGGGUUUCUACGAAGCGACCGUAAUUGCUUCUCUAUGAGCCAGCAGAUGGUUAAU
rnacentral:ncRNA from 2 species